rnacentral:lncRNA from 1 species
UUUUAAUUUUUCUAGGUUAAGCCAGUUUCCUUGAGAGAAAAAAUCGGAUGAGGGAGGGAGGAGCGCUGAUACAGGAGAAGAGAAAAAAAAAGAGAAAAAUAAGGAGGCAGAGGAGGGCGAUAUGGGAGGAGAAAAAAAGAGAGAAAAAUAAGGAGGGAGAAGAGGGCGCCGAUAGAGGGGGAUGGAGGAGGGAGAUCAGGAGGGGGGAGCGAAAAAAGAGGAAGAGAGAGAAACGCACGGAGGGAGGAGGGAGGGCAGGGUGCACGAGUUCAAGGGAGGGAGCGCGGGGGUGGGGAAGAGGAGCGGGCUGGUAUGAAGAGGAGGGAGUGGGCCAGGAUAAGCGAGGGUGUAGAUUAGUGUGUGUGACAAUUGGUAUAUAUACCAGUUGUUUUAUUCAUGAACCAAGGUGUGGACAUCCUAAUCAGUGGAAAAUCCAAAAACCAGUCCAAAUUAUGAAAUAUGUAUGUUAAAGAAGGGCCACUUUCAUCAAUUUUUUGUGCUGCUAUUAGAAUGCAAAUUUUUAAAGAAGAUGAGGUGUUUAGAAAAAUUAAUAAAUUAUGUGCUUGAUUAAUCUGGAACCUUAAGAAUGCCUUAUUCUAAUCAAAUAUGCAUUGAAUAGCAUGUGCCCUUUUUUACUGGUGAAGAAAAAGUUGACAUUCCAUGGUUUGACACUAACAAAAUUAGAUGAAAUUUGCAAAGUAUAAGGCAGAGAUUUUAACUUCACCAUUUUGGAAUAACAUGAGCAGACAAACAAUUCUUGAGAAGGAAAAUAGUGAAAAAGUAGGGAAUUUUUUAAGCUAAACAAAGAAAAUAUAACCAACCUCAACAUGAAGAGAAAGCUUCUCAAUUUGAUCGCUGUACUGUGGAAGAGCUUGAACCAUUUUUUGCAAAUCUCUAUUGGAUAUCUCUCCCCCAGUUCUGGUAAUUUAAACAUGAAGCAAUGACCAUUAAAAUAAUAAGUCAAGAACAUUACAAACAAAAUGGACUCAUGCAACUCAACAUACAUGUCCAAAUAAAUAUAUAGAAAACUUUAUGAAUUUUUUUCUGGCAUUCACUUUCCUAAAGAAACCACUCAUCCAUUAACAUAUUUGUGUUUCAGGGUUAACUCAAAAAUUGUGCAGCUAUACACAGCUAUGCAGAUCAUGUUGUAUCUACAGUAGUUCUCCCUCCAUUCCCAAUUGAUAGCUGCAUCAGGUUUGUGCAGCGAUACCAAGGGAGAAAUAAAUCAAGCAGUAAUUAGCAGCGAUACUGGUUCGGUGGCCCACACAUGGCGCAUGACCAUUCAACUUUUGAUGGUAGAUUUAACUAAUCUUGAGAUAAUCACUCAGCAUGCAUGCAUGUGAUAAAAAAAGGAGGGGAUUUAACUAAUUUCCAGAAAAUCUCUUCACAUUAAAUCCACGCAUACAUGCACCAGAUAAACAAGGAAAUCCACUGGCUCCCAAUGUUGUGCGACAAUCAAACCAGAUUUUUUUUCGUUUCAGUAAUAUGAUGAUCAAUUAGGAAUGGAGGGAGCAUUUAAGAAACAGCACAGUCAACUCAGAAGGGUUGCGUUACAACUAACUUUUGUACAUAUAUAAAUCAGUAAUCAACCUAACACAUUUUGGACCUUUUAGUUUCAUUAGCUUACAGUGUGUACUGGUGUAAGAUUAUGAUUUCUCAAAAUGACAUACCCACCAAUUUUAUGAUAUUUUCUUCUAAGCUCCAUUGUGAUGCAUGAGUAUUUUGCUAAUUGUUUAUAACAACGAAUGGUCAAAAAUCACAACAGAGCAAUUUCCCUACUUGGUUGAAACAAUGCACAGACCUUGCUUGCUGCAGUUGAGCAGCUUUAUUCUUGGACACAAAAUUGCUCAUCUUGUCAUGCAGUCUUUCGCUUGCCUGAAAGUAUGAUGGUUAAUUAUAAAGCUAUCAAACACAUGAAUCGCAAAGAAAGGUACUGAGGAGUAAUCUCACAUCUGCUAUGUGGGCAUGCCGGAGCUCAACCCAUAUUGGAUCAUGAUCCUCCAAUAGGACAUCCUUCUUUUCAGUUGAUGAACCAUUUUUACUCGGAACCUUUUCUUUCAGUCACACAUAAGAAUGGAAUAACCAUCAAAUGAAACAACAGGGAAGAAUGUUACAUAAAAAUAUAUAAAAAAAGAAACUCUCUCACCUCAUGGACAUACUUGUUGCCAUCCAUACAUAGAAGAUCAUGGCACAUCGCGUCAUAUGUCCAUUCAUGAAUGAUUGGUGCAAUCUAUGGUGCCAAAGAAAUUAUGAAGCAGCAGCAUAUAUAGACCAUGCUCAAUGUAGCACUAGGAUAGAUGUCAAAACUGCGUAUACAGGUAUGUUUACAAUGUACCUGGUCUACUGAACGAUCAACUAUAAGUAGCUCACAUGUCUCAGUUUGAGGAUAAUCCGGUAUUGAUGUUUUCAAUUUUGAAAGGCAAUUCCAAACAGCAGCAGCAAGUUUUGUAGGCACUAAAUCUCGUAGUGUUGUCGUUACAGAAGCAUCAAUUGUCUUGGCGACACGGUAGUGCACUCUAGGGAAUUCCUGUAAUUUGUUGAACAAUACAUAAAAAAAGUGAAUUGUUACCUAAUAGUUACUCUAGAACGACAUGUGCACAUCAAGCACCAAAAGUUAUUCAUUGUAUGUCCAUGGAAAGUAAAUGUAUUAUGUAUACAGAAAUAACCCAAUAUGUGGAGCAGAACAUCAGUUGAGCAUCAAAAUCUUUUGGUAUUGCCCACCUUCUUUUCCAGUACUCACUAGGGAUACAAACAGGUCAGGUCAAGGGCCAACCAAAUUGAGGCAUUGACCUUUGCUAGUUCUUUUUCUUCAGAAACAGCUCAAGGGCAUCUAUGGGGGCACAUUUAGGACUAUCGUACUGCAUACUAAGGUAAAAAAAACCCAAUUAAGUGGUAAGUGAGCCAUCAAUAAGUAUGGGCUAAUGGGCCAGACCACUGGCAUCCCUAAUUUUUUCACUUGCAACUGCAUCAUUUAUCAUCUGAAAAAAAUGCUGUCUGAUUAUACCAGGAGUUCACUUCCUACAGAGAUAGUUCCUUUUUGUCAUACAAAUCACCUACUUUAGUGUUGAUGAAUGUAGGCCAGGUCAGGUCAAGAUGAUGACCUACCGGAACUGCAUAGCAUAGUGCCAACUGUCAACUGUCAACCACAGUGCAUCUCCGACAUUGGAUCUGCAGGCAAUUUAUAUAACAAUCUAGGAGGGAUGUGUUGAGCUCUGCCUCUGCAUUCUUAUUGCAGUCUUUGCUCCUCACGCUCUCCUCUUCUUCAUUGUCCCACAUAAUAAUUAAAUAUUCCCUCCAUCCCAAAAUAUAGGAAAGUAGCUAUAUUUUGGGACAGAGGGAGUACAUAGAACCACCUUUUUUUUUGGGGGGGGGGGGGGGAGGGGGGGGUUUACUUCUUGUGACAUGGAUACUACUGGUUUAUUGUUUUGACAAGAAUUAUGUGUGCUUGUGUAAUAAAAUAGUAAGUACCCACAAACCAAAUGCUUAUUGUUUUAGGCCACUAAAUAGGCUGAGAUUACACCAUGACUAUGAACAAAAGGAAGUUAGCAGAAAUUACAUAACAGAGGUUUCAGGUGCUGGCUGAAGAGUCCAGGAUGUGGGUAUAGCGGACAGCAUAUGAGAAGUGGGAUCAAACCAACAGGGGGAAACACAGGAGGAAUUCAAGAGAUCUUCGCUCCCUGUGAUAUGGGCCUUACAGAUAGAGGGUCUAGAGGCCGUAUUAUGUAUUAUAGUUAAGAAGGUUAUUAGUUAGCUAGGAAGUUGGACAUAGUUUGUUAGGAAGGGUCAGGGUAUUUCCAAUGCAAUAAUAAAACUAACAAUCUUGUUUCUGUAAGCUGCCACAUCAUUGUUUUUGCUUAGGAGAGGGAGAGGAGAUAGAAACAAGAAACAAUUAGAUAGAAAUGAACAUUACUGAGAAGUCGUAUCUAUCGUCAAUUAGGAAUUCCAUGCAGCAAUUAAUGCUUGUGGGGCCUUGUGAACAUACCAUGCAUUCUAAGGGCUAUUACUACUGUUGUUUACAUAUGUCAUUUCUGUAUUUGGAAUGUCCUUAAGUUAAUCCUAUCGAUAAAAGGACACCACAUACCCCAUUAUGAAACAAGCAAUCAAUCUAUAUGGUUAGUCCAGUAAGCCUAAGAGUCACUAUCACAACAAGUGAAGCCCUGCCAGCACUAGUAGAGGGAAAGGCCUUAUCCCAUCAGUCUUUGGACCAGUUUCACAUUUCGUGGGACAAACCAAAGGGCAAUCCUGCCCCACAUAUAUCCCUAACUUCAUGCGAUCAUCAUAAAGCACUUUGUUUAGAACUUUAGAUCUAAAGCACCCUAUUUUUCAGACCUAAAACACUUUGGUUUGCAUUAAAUCAGGAUAUAUUAACAGGAAACACAAAAAAAAUGUGCAACAGCAUCUUUCACAAAUAAGAAAUGUAUUCAUACCCUCAUUGAUGCAAACACUGUAGAUAUGCGAGUAGCCAUUGUGUUCAAACAAGCAUUGUACUUGUGUGAAUCCAAAGCAUUUUCACUAAAAAGCUCCUCCAAUGCUCUUUCAUGGUCAGUGGUGAAACCCUGCAUGCAAUCACUAGCAAUAUAACGUACCAGAGAAAAGGGAUUACCAUGUAAUGGUUGGUACUUUGACUAGCAUCUAUGUCCUCUCUAUAAGAUAAUAAAUAUGGUAUCAUCAUUCAAGUAGCACGAUAAAAUUUACCGUUUACACUAACUUGUAACAGUAUUAGAUAUAAUUAGAAAAUAGGUUACCAGUUGACAGGCAAAAUUUCUAAAGUUGGUUAUUUAUCAUUGCAACUACCAGCAACCAACCAAAAUGACCAGAAUCAAAUCUUAGAGAAUUUCCAAUAAUCCUAGCUGUGUAUCAUGGAAGUAUUGAAAUUUACAUUAAAGGCAAUUCAAACCAUUCUUGUCACUGCCAAUGAUUGGGUUUUUCCCACGUUGCUCAUAUCAUUCGCUCAUAAGGCGUAUCUAUUGGGUCCCUUUUUCUCCUGACCAAGCCAGCUGGCUUCUUUCAAACAAAAAAGGAUCCAGCUGAUUUGCAGAAAUAGGAAAUGAACUCCUAAAAUCAUGCACUUGUUUAGGGAGGUCCACGAUUUAAGAUAGCCUAUUGUAAAUGUGCUUCCAAGAAAUUCAGAAAUAUGCUUUAAAAUUUAAUAUGUACAGUUAGGGCUUAUGUAAAAGUCAAACAGCAAAAAAAAAUUAAUAUAUGUUCUGUAUAGAAAUUAUUUUUGAGAAAUUUUUUUGGUGGCAGUUCAAAACCAGCUUAACAGAGCUGGCAAAAUGACUAAACCAGAGGCAAAAGGACCCUAGAUGUGGGAUCCACAAGCAAGAAUGAUCGAAUAUAAGCAAAGUGGCAAAAUCAGUUCAGAUAUCUUUGGAGUGAAAUCAAUGCCAUUACAUUCUUGGGAGUGGCAUUUUUUCAAAAUGGCAAAUUUCAAGUGGUAUGAACCCGAAAAGCCCAAAAUGGGAACAAAAACUCAGAAAAAUAUUUAGUUAUCAUGGAUCUGUUUACAGUAUAACAUUGUUUUCAAGUUCUUUAAACCGAAAAAUAUAUUAGGUCAAAAGGAAAAUGACGAUGUGUUUGUGAGCUAUCCUAUAUUAUUAACCAAAUAACACCAAAUGCUUCUCCUUUUUUAAUUGCAUGAGAACUUCUCAAGUUGUAGAGCAAAGUAUCAGGGCUCAAUUGCUCAAAUACUCAAUCCUAUGCGUAAAUCAUGGAUGAACAAAACAAUUCCUAUAAAAAAUUGCAUGAAAUUAUUUAUGCUUCAAGAAUAUAUGUAACAGAUACAAACUAUAAAUGAAACACUGAAAUUUCCGCAAGAAAAAAAAACAGAUGUGCCAUGAUACCUGGGAAUCAAUAGCAAAGUACUCCAAAUUCAUCUGGAAUACAACGAAAAAUAAAAUGUGAAUAAAUAGUUAGCAUAACAGUCUUUUAUAUUUAAAACAUUCUGGAAUAAAAUAUAAGAGGAUAGCAUAAUCCAAGUAACCUCACUAAGUGCACCAAUACGGGGUAGUACACUUGAAUCUUUUUUUAUUUGAGUAACUAAUUCUUUCUGUAUGGGAGAACUGAAAAACACAUACGCCCUACAACAUGAUCAACAAUCUAUCAGUGAAAGAAACAGAAUAGAGAUUGUACAUAAGAGGAGAUUCAAGUGGCGGUUUAUGUUAAUUCAGACAUACUUCUUGUAUAACGGAUUUCUUCCGGACAUGUCAUUCAGGAACAUCCCAAUGCUGCAACAUGAUGAUUAAAAAUCAAACAAGUGUAAUGUGUGAAAAAGUUGGAAAACGAACUACAAGCACUACUGACAAGUAAAUAGAUUAUGGCUGUGUUCGGCAAUGGCAGUCAGGAACUAAUCCCUUGUGCAUGCAAAACGGAGUGAAUUAUUAGCGUAUGAUUAAUUAUGUAUUAGCUAAUUAUUUAAAAAAAAUGGAUUAAUUUGAUUUUUUUAAAGCAACUUUCCUAUAGAAAACUUUUGCAAAAAAAUGCAUUGUUUAGCAGUUUGAAAAGCGUGCGAAUAGAAAAAGAGAGAGAUGAGUUGGGAAAGAAGGUGGAAGAACACAGCUUAUAUGUGGAUGAUGAGUGCUGAUGAUGAGAGAUGAGCAGGGCUAAUAGCACUUAUGAGUGCUGAUAGUGACAGGAACUGAACUUCUUUCUAUAGGAAAGGAAAAACCUAGUUGAUCUCCACAAAUUGUAGUUAAUGUUAAUUCUCUUUUCUCUCAUGAAGCCAUACCACCUCAACUGUUUCUACCCUUUGGAUCAUUUAUCUAUGGUUCAAAUUAUCCAUCUUCUCUCAUGAAGUCACGCACAUGCAAAUCAUCUCAAUUAUUUAUAGCUUUUUUCCACCACAAUCACCUCAAAUUAUUUUUAGCAUUUGAUCGCUGAUGCAUUUAGGGAGAAGAAAUAUAUCAAUGCGAUGAUAGUAAAACAAAGUUGGCAGUCACCAAAUUGUGACUUAGGGAAAGGGAACUAAUAUGAGAGAUUAUAUCGAUGAUUAGGAGACUGAACCAAUACGAUACUCCCUCCCGUCCCAAAUAUAACAAUUUCUAGCAUUCAAGAUUUGUCCCAAAAUAUAACAACUUCUCCAACAUUCUCUACCCAACCAAUCACAACCCUCCACCUACCUCUACUUCUAAACCAAUCACAACCUUCCCCCAUUUUAUUCUACCUACCUUCCCCAUAUACCCGUGUCCAACCCUAAAACUGCUUAUAUUAUGGGAUGUAGUACAUUAUAUCGAUGAGAUGAUCGGUGCAAUUUUAUUUUGCACUUAAUGUUUUCUUAUUAUCAUACGAUGAUGCGACUUUCCCGCAGCAAUGUACGUAGUUUCAUCUAGUAGAAGAAACAGAUCUACAAAUUAAGAGAGUAACACAUCAUCUGAACCUUUAGUAAGCAAAGAAAAGGGAAAGUUAUACAUUAGCUACAAAUUGUUAUACAAUGAUAAGAAUGGUCAUUGUCAUGUAAAACAUAAAUGUGAUAAAACCUCACCCCACAAUAGAAUCCAAUGACUUUAAGGGCCUGUUUGGCCUUGGGCAUCAGGUGUGAGCUCUCUUAUUAGUCUUUGGGGCUGUUGUUGCUUUCUUCAGAGAAGCUAACUUCCUAAUAGAAUCCCAAAAAUUGAUCGGCUGGGUAAGCCCAAAGGCUAGCUUAUUUUGGAAUUACUGGGAAAAUCAGGGAUGAAGUGGUAGGGGAUAGAAGGAAGCAGCUUUUUGGCUUAUUUCUUUGAAAUAGCUUUAACCAUCUCCAAAAGCUAAGUGGUGAUAGCUCUAAUCUAGCUUCAAUUGGCAGCCAGUCGGGGCAGAAAAGGCCCUAGACAUGUUCAGUACAAACUAAUUAAGUGAUUACUUCCCUAACUUAUUGCAAUGUGCUUAACAACCCCUGUCUGGCAUUGCAUGGUAAAUUGAUCAAAUAUAAUCGUGCAAGCCCAUCAUCGUGCACACCCACAAGCAGAUCUUUUGUGUGAUUGCACUCCAUGAGCUCAUGCUACAAUCAUAUAAGUGUGUGCACAGAUAUCUGGAACUCCAAGAAUUUUUGGCAGAGGUAACUCCAAGAAUUUUCAAUUGCUAUGUUUACAUUUCAUAUUUCGAGUAAUUUCAGAAAGCCAUAUGUAUUACGGAUUGUGGCACAUGACCCCCAGGUUUAUGGUCUAAAGGUUAUAUAAAACCCCAUCUUUAUUUAAAUCUCAGCUAAUUUUCGUAUAUUUGAAACAAUACUGUUCAAAGUAAUAAGGAGUUACAUCUUAAUACAGAAAUCAUAUAGACACUUUAUGACAUGAAAACUUAAGUAAAUGUGUCCCCAACAUGUUUUAUAGAAAGUGAAAAUAGAGAGUGGCUGUGUGCCAUGUUCUUGAGUGCAUGCCUAUCUCUAUGCCUAAUAAGUGUCACCAUCUUGAUGAAUCCUUUGCUUCCUGGACCCCAACACAAUGUUCACCAAAUAAGUGAAAUUACUCAGACGCAUCAAGUUUAAAACAAGCUAUGGGAAUAUUUGGAUUUUGAACUACAACUUACUAUGAUUUAUCCCAAAAAUCAUGAGAAUUUUGUAGGUCCUACUUUUGAUUGAAGGACUUGGGUAGCGUUUGGGUCUUCUGGUAUUUCAAAACCUUCAGCAAUGGUAGAAAGGCAAAUGUAUACGAGAAGCAUCAGCAUCGACAUAGGCAUCAGAUCAAUACAUCUAACUAGCAUACCACUAACCCCCACGUUCCUGCAAGUUCAAUGGCAUAUAGCAGAAUGCCAAUUCUCCAACUAUUUUCAUAUUGGCACACAGCUGUUUUUUUCCCAAAAAGAAAAGGAUAUGAUCUAGUUUUACAGUAACACAUAAACGGAUUGCACAACAGAAUCAUUGCAAACAGAAGUUGUAUAGAUUUGCUUACUUUUCUUUAGUUGGUUGAAUGAAAUAUAUAGCAUCUAGUGAAGGCAACGGUUGUCUCCGUUUGUACAAAUCUUCAACCACUGCAAAAGAACUAGCAUAGGUGAGACUUUACAGACGAUGCAUCUACUGGAAGGCUUUAAAAUAUACAGUGAACAAAUAUUUCAACAAAUAACAAUUUAGGAAUUCGAAGGUUCCAGAGUGCGAAGCUAGAAAAAGGAUACAAAAUGGCAUGUAAAAAUCAGGAUAACCAUAUAAGCAUAAGGUGAUAUACACAGAAGCAUAUUUGAAUCAGUUGAAAGAGAUGAUACUGUAGAAACAAGACUUUGGUGGUGUCAGCUGAAACACAUAAGCAGGACCACAACUCAUGCACCAAGCAGCCUAAAGAAAAUACUCGGUCAUAAUAUUUGACGCAGUUGACUUACCAUGGAGCUUGACAAUUCGUCUUAUUCGUGGUCUUAUUCAAAAAAAAAAUCUGUAAUUACCAUUUAUUUAUUUUGAAGGUACUUAAAGCAUGACUUAGCAUUUUUAAUAAGACGAAUGGUCAAACUUCAUGGUCAAAGUCAAACAAACUGAUCAAAUAAUGUAUUUCCUUAUAAAUAAAACAAAAUCUGAGAAAGAACAAAAUGUGUGUCACUACUUACAUGAAACCCCUUCUUCUGUAAUAUCUGCCAUCUUACAUGAACAUGAUAUUAUCUUGACUGUAAGUUUAUCCAUAAUAAGAACCUAGAAGAAAUCAUAACAAUUUGUGUAAGAUGCUGCACAAAUUACAUAAGGGAAUUUGUUAGAGAAGGGCAUAAACAUAUUGUAGAAAUUUCGAUGUUUUCAUAAACAGAUAUAUCUAUAGACUCAAAACUUCUUCAAAUAAAUAUAGCCUCCUCACGAACAUAUCUAAAAUGAUCAUUAAAUGCAACAUGCGAACAAUCAUGUCAGCGUGUGAGCUCAGUGCCCGUGGGUGCCUAGACUGCCAUUUCAAAUAUGAUCACUAGAUGUUUUUCAUACUACAAAUUAAGCAAUAAGCAUCAUAUUCCAACAAGCUCCCAGUUAAUGGAAUUUCUAGUAAUCCCUUCAAAGUUUAUGUUUUCCUAGCAAAGUGAGUUGAACCAGCAAAUGCCUGUAAAUAAAUUUAGAAUGCUGCAUGUUAUAUUUCUGUAAGAGUAAGUUGCACCAUACAACAAGAUGUGAGGUGAGUGCAAGUAGGGAACUAGAGGAUUGCUCAUUUACACUAACAAACUUGUUUUGCUGGUACACAACAGGUCAAUUUUACCCUUGAUGGCAUUUUCUAUGCAUAUAUGCUGUAUGUGAUGUAUAUAGGAAGGAAACGAGAGAUACUUUAUAUGAGCUAAGUGGGAUACCUAAAGGUAGUCUGGUAGUGUCACAAUGGCCCAAAAUUUAUUUUAAUGCAACAAUGCGUGCAACACAAAUUGCUCGCCCAUGUAUAGGUACCUCUGUUUCCCUUUUUCUUUUUCUAUCUAUGUCUCUCAUUGGCUAGUAACAUCACCAGGCCACCAGGCAUUCUGAGACCUUUCCUAUAAAAUAAGAUCCUAGCCCUAAACGAAAUGGUGUUUAAAUUACACUCUAUUAAGCCAUCACAACCACAUCGGAGUAUAGGGAGUCAACGAGGAUGAAAAUUGUCCUCUUGGGCUGGUGGGUAUGAGCCAAACAAGAUUGCUGACACAAACGAGCAAAUCUCAAGUUCCACACUUGCACUCACCCUGCAAGUUGUUGUACAUAUGAUGCAAUGCAGACUAUAAAUCAAAAGAAAUGUCAUAUUUACAUGUUUUCCGACUUUAUCAUUAUUCAAUGUAUACAGCAGGGACCUCAAGUAGUUUUUUUUCCUUAAAAAGAUGCAUACGUGUUUUCCGACUUUAUCAUUAUUCAAUGUAUACAGCAGGGACCUCAAAAGAAACCAUGUCAAUCUGAAAGGUGCCCAGGAUUCCUUACCUUCCAUGUUGAUUUUGAAUGUUUCCUAGUUGACCUGAGCAUUUCAAAUAAUAAACCUGCAUGGUCACAGCAAAAAAAAAAAAGGUUAAAUGGAGGUGCUUUCUAUAUGAAAGCAGAUAAGCUUGUGCAAAAACAGACAAUAACAGUGCUCCUUGAAUGAAUAUGAAUAGAGAAUUGAAAUGUGUGGUUUGGUUGGAAGUGUGAUGAAGCAGAAAUAUACAACAUGAAACUUGCCAUGCAGAGAAUUACACGGUUGAUUAGUAUACCACAUAAGUCGACAAGACAACCAAGUCAAAAUAAGGUAACUAGCGCUCCAUGGAGCAGAAGAAUAAAUAGAUGAAAAAUAAAAAAGGUAAGCUUCUGUCAAGAUUAGUUGGCCAUAGAAACUACAAUCAUGAGCGAACCUUUUGCUCACAAGUCACAAGACAAACAAGACAACCAAAAAUUAAAUAUCCUGCAGUUAAAACAAUUAUAAGAAAAACUGUGAUUCAGCAAUUAUUUCUCACCAGUAAAUUUUGACAUCAUUAACUGUACAGAACAGAAAUGGUUUUGACUACCACUAAAUAAGCAAGCAUGGCCCAAUUCAUUUCAUCGUCGGGCAUCCUACCAGAUAUGGCUUCCAUAUAUCAAAGAAUAGUACAUUCCAGAAAUAUGGAAAUCAAGAGCACAAAGAAGCCAUUGCUGCAUAACAGACUCGUCCAACUAGACACCAGUAGUACAACGAUGAUGCAGCAGUGAAGGCAUCUCAGGUAAAAACCAAAUAAUCCUGUACGAUUUUCUACUCCGAUAAGAGCUCUAAGCAAACAAAUUCGCACAACCACACGGAUUUUUCCUAUCUCCACAAGCAAUUGUCCCAGAUCCAUCCCCAACAGCAGCAUCAGCAGCAGCAGCAAGCAAGCAAAUCGGGAGCAGCAGGGAUAGAGGAAGCACAGAGUGGUGGCCUUACGGUCUCGCGUGAUUUGGCGGAAGCUCCGGUGGUCCCCGCCCUGGGAGGAGGUGUCCGAGUCCAUCGACAUGGCGCCGGAGAUCUCCCCCGCCUACUUCCGGCGACGCCGCCUCGGGCUGCGCUAGUAGGGUGGAGAGAACCACUAGCCUUUGACCCGCCCCGCGUAGAGGAGGCGGUGAUCGGCGGGCGGCGAGCAAGCAGAAGAAGGGGAAGUCGGAGAGAGAUCAGAGGGAAUGCUCCGUGUGGCCGCGUGCCGGAGAGAGGAAGAAGAGAAUUGGGGGGAGGAAGCGCGUGCGCGUCUCCAAGAGGUCGUCGGACGGUGGCGGCCGAGGAGAUUUUACCAGAUUGCCCCCCCCCCCCCCCCCCCCCCCUCCUCUGUGCUUCGUUGGACUUUUUUUUUUCUUUUUGACGCUGUGCUUCGUUGGACUUGACCUGUACGACUUCCAUGCUAAGAAAAGGGGCAGGCGGUGCGGUUGCUCUGCAACCUUUAUUCGUAUCUAUGUGACAUGUGGGGCCCACUUGGUACCCACCGGUCAUUGGUUAUAGUUGAGUGAAGCCGACGCCACUCGCUCUCAGGUCUCUCACAGUGCGGUGAGCUGGACCGGGACCUCGUCGCGCCACGUUGGAUUUUUGCCGCCGUGUCACUUGGACCCGCACCUAAACUAGGUUCCUCGUCCCCUAGGUGAGCGACGCAAAACCUCGCGAAAUCCAGGGCGCGCAGCGAGGAGAAGACCCGGGUCGCGCGCGCUGUGGGCGGCGUAGCCUCGCCCUCGCGUCGAAACCGUAGCGCGAAAUCCCCGAUUUGCCCUCCCAAAACCCACUCCCGCCGCACCGAUUUCCCUCUCCCGCCACCAAUUCCUCUGCUCCCACGCCGAGAAUCCUCAAAAUUAGCAAGCAAAAUCAAGAACACAGAUCGUCACGGCGAUUACCAGAAGAAUCACACAAGAGACACAAAAUCAUAGAAGAAAAUCAAGAGUCACACAAAAUCACACAAAAAAAAUCAAGAACGCCGCCGCCAAGAACGCCAAGGAGGAGUGCGCCUUCCUCCCGGCCGCCGCCGAGCUCCGCCGCCACGCGCGUCAUGACGCCAAGCUCCGCCUUGGCCAGGUCGACGCCGAGCCCGUCCACCACGCUCCAGGGCGGGGCUAGCGCCGCCACGCCCCUGGCCACGCCGACCCCUCCCUGCCUCUGCGCCGCCCUGGUGGGGGAGAUGAGGAGGCGUCACGGGGGAGAAGCCGCGAUGCGUCGGUGGAGCGGUGAAGUUGUCGAGGUCGUCCGGGAAGAAGCCGCGACGCGUCGGUGACGACGUCAUCCAUGGGGGGCCGGAUGCGAGACUCGCCAUGGCUUCCUGCGAGCUUCUUGAGCUCGCGGAGAAGGAGCGAAGGCGCGAGGGGAGGUGGGGGAGGAGCGCGAGGCGUCCCCGGCGUGCCGCCACGGCGUGGGAGGCAAGGAGGCGCGGCGGCGGACCGGGAGGAGGAGCGGCGUGGGAGGCGAGACGAAGGAGGCAUGGCGGUAGAAGGAGAGAAGGAGGAGGAGCGGUGAGGAGAGAAGGGUAGGUGAGGAAAUAAAUUGCGUUCGGCUCCCGUGUCCCACGCGCGUAGGGUAACACCCAUUGUGGGAUUCUUUUCCUUCCAUAGUAUCUCCAUUCAAUUAGGUCACGUAAAAUAGAAUCCUUGCACUGUGGGAAAGAGUGUCUUUGGGUCUUUUUUUGGGGCUAAGACACGGGCUCCGGUGCUUGCACUGUGAGUGCCCUCAGAUUAGACGGUUUCCACUGCACGCUUGAAAAAUGAAAUGGACCACCAACAAUCUAUACUAAUAUAAAAAGGAAUAGUUAUCUUCUUCCAAUCCGAUAGGUAAAAUCAACAGGUGAAAUCCCUACCGUUUAUCCGCAUCGCUCUAAUCCCUAUCGUCCACAGGAUUUCACCCUCCCGCAAUGACCGCGAUUUCACUCCCCUAUCCAUCCACCGCGAUUUUCACCCGCGCUCUCGCCACCACGCGAAGACUCCGCCUCCGCGCUAUUCUCUCCUCCUCACGUCUCCCCACCACCACUCCACUCCACCACUGGCCCCGCCGGAGACGGAGCCGAGGUCUUCCGCCGCCACCGCCGCCGUCGCCACACUCCACCGCUGGCCCCGCUGGAGAAUUCUGCAAAAUUAUCAUCGUCCCCACCGUAGCGCUUGCUCUUCCCAGCCACCGCAUCGCGCACCACGGCACAGCCAUCGAGCAACAGCACCUCCUCCUCCCCGCUGCCUACUCCACCGAGGGAGACCUUGGCAUCAUCGUCGCUGCCCUCAAACCGGCGUCCAAAUGGGAUGGGGGAAGGGAGAGACAGUGGCGCAUUUGGGAAUGGGAAAGAGUUAAGAGGGGGAGACCGCGGUGGUAGUAGGGGACAAUGGAGAAGGUGGCACCGUGUUAGGAACUCUUGUGGGCUGCAAUGUGGGCCAGUUCAGUGGCCUUCUAAGCCUAGCCCAACCAAGACAAGGAGGAGAACUACAAAACAGCAAAGCUGCACUUUCAGGGGCUAUCGCAAGAUCAAUUGGCAAACGGCGACGGCGGCGGCGACCUGGUGGCCGGUUGGCACCUUGUCGAUUUCCUUCCUCCCUACCUUCCUUCUCCCUCUAUCUUCUCCAUCUUCCACCACUUGUAUCCCCUUAGUUCAUCCUCCUUCCACCUCUAUUUAUUGGAGUAUGGUUGCUAUUGUAUUGGAUGCUUGCAUAUUUGAGUGGAAUUGAGAUCAGAGGUUGGGGUUCCUAACAAAUUGGUAUCAGAGCUACUCGGUUCGUGGGAUUUCUUGUCAUUGAGGUCUUGGGAAGGCAGCAGUGCAAGGUGGAAGAAGAAUUGGGCAAGGGAGGUGUUCAAGAAUCUAGCGCACACAACCUGUUCGACAGACUGACAAGCCAACAUAAGGUGUUCAAGGAUGAUGAAAGGAUAGCAGAGCCUGUUCCCAUCAAGUCCACCAUGAACAAGGAGGGAAUAUCCAUGGACGAAGCUUUAGAUCGGAUUCUUGAGAGGUUUGAGUUGAUGGAGGCCAACCGUAGACAAGAGGAGAAGUUCAAUCAAAUACUACAAAAGCUGGAGGAGGUAGAGGCUCGUAGGAGCAAGGCUGCCGAGGAGACAAUUGCAUCCAUCAGGGCAACCACCGCUGUCCUCAAGGCUACAUCACCUAUAGCACCCAUGGCACCACCUACUCCAGCGUGUACCAAGUGUUUGACAGAAUGCCCCAACAACAACCUCACUUGGGCGACGGUGAGCUCAAGUCACAUUAGUGAGGAUACUGCUCCAACAGUUGCCUGGGAGCUAGGAGACAACAAGGACAAGGGCCACGCCCCCUGCGUCGUCACAAAGGACUCACUCGAGGUCACGCCCACCAUGUGUUCGACGAAAUGCUCCGGUCCUACCGUUGAGCCUGAUCUCACUGUGGCUGUAGUGGUUACGUCCGCCACCACUGCCGCGGCCUCUAUGGAGUUGGUAGCUACUGGGAACACAAUCGGUGCCACUUACAUCAACAAUCUUGACCACCCCAAGGUGACGCACGCCAAGUGUUUGAUGUUGGACCUUGGCUCCAAUAGUGGCGACAACCAAACCAUGGUCACGUUCCAGACCUUAGUGGACAUGACUAAAGGCGUUUUUGCACCUGAUGCAACAAUUGAAGUCAGCUCACCAAGGAAGAUCGCUGAAAUGGACUUGGUCAUAGUGAUGCCUACAGGGUGUUCAAUGCUAUUCUUUGACAAAGGUGCCAGUGAGUUGCUGCCUGUAAGGAGACAUGUUAUGUGGCAAUUGUUAUUGGAGCAGUGCAAGUGAAACCCUUGGUCGCCUCCUAACUCAGUUUAUCAAGUUAAUGGAAUAUGGGAGUUGUGGCAUGUGCCCUGGAUAGACUUCAACUAUUUUAGAACAAGAUUAUGUUUGAUGCCACCUUAGCCACCAUCGACUCAAAUUGGAACCAUAAUGCUUUGGCUGGUGGCAAACUCAUGGUUGAGAAUAGUAGAGCUGAAACCGUGGCCUGACCCACAAUCAAGUCAAUGUAGCAUAGGCGGGAGGUGGACUGAACUGAAAGUUCCAUGGUCAGCACUUGAUUGUGAAUGUUCUAUGGGAGAUGAUCUUUGCAGUGCAAAUUGCAUAAGAAACGAAGCACUUUCUGUUACAUUAUCUUGUGCACCUAAAGGAGAUUUAAAUCAUAAAAAAAUUGAUGGAUCUCAGAAGGAUACCUUGGUGGCAUUACUUAUUGUAAUGACCCUAAAAUUUUAAUUUGCUUCGCCGCGCUGUUGGCAACCUAGUUGAGCUCACUGUGUUGAGCUGAACGACUAGUUGUGUCACACGAUUGGCUUGGAUUUUUUUUUUUGCGUUAGAGGAUCGAUUCAUAUGCAUAUAUCACAGUUGAAACACAAAUUAGACACAUAAGUAAAUUCUUUAUUUCUUCACAUAUACAUUAUACAGUGUUGUUGCAUACAUCAAAUGCAUCUCAUACAUUAUUCGUCUAAAAUAGAAAUAGUGAAAAUUAAAUAAAAAUGUUGGUGUGAUCUGUGACCACACCUAAUUGCUUUAGGAGAUUUCAAAUAUAAGAUUUAGGCAAAAGAGAAAAUUUAGAGUUGCUUGAUGUCACAUAUUUUGCAACCAAACCAUUUUGGGGCACAAAAUUUGUAACAUUAGCCAUCUCUUAGUACUUUCCAAAACUAUUUAUUUCUUAGGUAAACUCUGAGUUUUUGGGCAAUUGAAAAUCAGUCCCUAAAUUCAAAGUAAUCUCCAUAUUUUUAAAGUCUAUGGUACUAUAAUGCAAAAGUUACAAAUAUCAUACUUUUCACUAGAUUUUUAUUUAAUUGCAAAUCUGUGAAAAAUUAUGCUGAGCCUCCACCGAAUAAACCAUGCUUAGGUGUCAAACAGGGAGACCACUAGUAAAACCUUAGUAGGUGAGUCACCUAGUAGUCAACCAUGUCCAUGUGACAAAAACCAUAUCAGUGUGAACCCCAUCCUGACCGAGCCUCGUUUUCCUCGUAGAGACCAAAACCAGUUAGCAAGAAGAACCACCAUAACCAGAGAGUGGAGAAGAAAAGAAAAAUACAAGAGGGCAAACUCACCCAACAUUAGGUGGAGCAGGGGCUCCAGCUCCAUUAGGAGCAGGUACCCCAGCUCAAGGAGGAGACGCUGAUUCAGUAGAAUCAACCAACCAAUAGAAGCUGCAGUAGAAAAAGAGGAGUUCAACCAUAUAUUUUCACAACCACUGAAUAAGCCACAAAGAGGUAAACUAGAUUAAGAGCAUCAUCCAUGGCAUAUAAUCAUGAUUAGAAGUCAGAUUAUUUUACAAAUCAAGAAUCUAGAGACCAUAUUAUUUGCAUUACAAGGUUACAGUGGCACACAUCUAACUAAUUUUUCUAUUGUGGGACAUUAUGAGAAAUAGAACAGAAAAAUAGAAGGGGGAAAAGGGAUAUGGAGUUACUGGUGAGGGUUGUGGCCGGCAGAGUUGCCAUUUGAGGCAUUGGCCGUCUCCACGGCGACCAUCACAGGAGUUGAGUACCAAUAGCCAUGGAGGACAACAAUGCUCAGAUUCCUUGAGAGAGGAGAGGUGGUAGUAGAGGAUGGAGGUAAAGCAGGAUAUGAGUUUGUGGGAACUAGGGGGAUCAAAUCACUGCAGGGGCAGCUGCUAGGGAGAUCGCCGGAGUGGGGCGUGGCAGCCGGCCUGAGGGAGAGCGUCGGUGUUGGCGGCGCUGUUUGGGGAUGGCGGCACAGGAGAGAAGGCGUGAAGGAGAGAAGGAGAUAGCGAGAGAAGAAGAUGAGAAGAAAGAAAGUGGGCUGGUUGGGCUUUGGUUUUGUGGGCUAGACUAAAUUAAUUAUAUAUAGUCUCUAGGAAAUUAGUUUUAGAUUUAGAAUAGAAUGUGAGCAAGUUUAUAUAGCAUACAAAUUGAUGAUUCUAAAUUUUUGACAUUAGUGCUAAAAUAAAAUCUGAGCAGAGCAAAAUAAAUUUAUAUAACAGUACCUGAUCAUUAUAUUUGCCAUUCAUAAUACAUCAUUCAUAUGCAUUGCAUGCGGUAAAUUUAUGCGUUCGGAAUAUGUCCUUAUUCGGACUUCCGUAUUUUUUUCAGAAGUUCGAGUUCCCGAGGAAUCAUUCAUUUCGACUGAAUCUGAGGGUAUUUGUGGUGUUUUCUAUCCAGGCAAGUCCAUCUCUUGAUCAUAUUGCUUAGUUAUUUCAAAUAUUUGCAACCUAUAUAACUCUCACCAUUGCAUAGAAAACCAGAAAUUUAUUUCUGAAUGUUAAUAUUGUACAUGUGGAUCUGUGGAUCAGUUCUUUGGUGAUCUUAAUAAUUGGCAGUCUGAACUUGGUUGUUGUGUAGUUCAGCUGUAUAUGCUUAACAUCAUAAGGUUAAUUAACAACUGCUGUAGGUAUGCAAGCGCCGUAGCGAUCGUGUCGACCAUAUGACCUGGAAUGGGAUAGGCUGGCUUAGUAGUUCUUUCUUAAUGGCUUUAUCCUGCGGGCUUAAGGACUUCCGCGAAUCCCGUGAGCGUGGGCUAGCGAUGAGGGUUGCCGUUGUUGCGGAAUCCGAUUAGAUGAUGUGGAUCGCCAUUUUUGCGGGAUCCGAUGAUUCGCCGUUGUUGCGGGAAUCACCCGCAGAGAUAAUUGACAGAUGGGAUUGAUGAAAAGCUUGUGACCUUAGCCUUGCUGGCAUACACCAUGAAGUGUGCUUUAAGCGCCGACGGGCAUGGGCGUUAAAAGGUUUAAGGCGUCUAUGGGUAUAGCGACACACCUCUGCAGAGUGUAUGAAUUGUGAUAUGUCACUCCCUGUUUCGGGUAGAAACUGCGAACGCGGUAGGAAAGGGAUCUAUCGGAGAUUCUACCCUGUGGUACUUUAUAUGCAGUAGUGUUUUAUAAUUAAAAUUUGAAUUUUUGCAACAAAUAUUUGUCAAAAACAUUAUGAAUUCUUUGAAGAAUCUUGAAUUCUAGAGAUAGUUGCAUUCACACAUUUUCUUGCUAUUGAUGGGCUUGUUGAGUACCAUUUGUACUCAUCCCCUAUGUUAAUUCCUUGUAUAUAGAUGUUGAAUCAUUAGAAUCUGUUGAACAAGAAUAUAUGGCUGGAAGUGAAGGAACUCACGUUAUGGAUGACAACCAGGAAGGACUCUACGAUGAUGCUGAGAUUGACUAUGAUAAUUAGUAUAUAAUAUGCAUGGUUCAUAUAGUUGCUGUAGUGGUGAUGGUAGUAGCUGUGGCAGCGGUAGUAUUUGUAGUAGUAGCAGUAACAUUAAUAUGAGUAGUAGUAAUAUCUGUAGCAGCACUUGUGAAUUUUCUUGUGUGCUAUAUAUGUGCUGAGUUUUUGGGGUUUGUAUAUUAUUUUGCUGUUAUCGCUCGAGGCUUGUCUUGAGCUGUAUCUAUGGUACUGUAAUAACCGGAACCAAUGCGAUGUUUCUGCUAUGCUACUCUGAUGUGCAUAUCUCUGAGUAAACGGUGUUUAUGAAGAUAUAUGCUAUAGACUUAUAUUCUACUCUUGUUGUGGAAUAUGUGGGUCGUUUCACUUAUCUUGGAACAUUUCCAUUAUGUGGGUGAUGAAGAAAAAGUUACACAGGGAAUGCUAAAUGGUCUAAUUGCAGUGGGCUGCAACUACUUGAUCCUGAUCAUGUGUGCUGCUAUAAUCACAACAACAUUUCAUCUUGCUAUGAUUACAACUCAAGGCAACAACGUAUAUGGGACAAAUCAAUUGCAUGAGAAGCUCAUUGCCAGAUUGAUUCCUUUGACCACGAGAGGAUUGCCCCUGCCAAUUCAUGGUAAUGGCUCAAAUGUCAGAAACUAUUUGUAUUGUGAUGAUGUUGCUGAAGCUUUUGAGGUGGUUCUUCACAAGGGUCAGGUCAGCCAUGUGUAUCAUAUCGGUACUGCGAAGGAAAGAAGGGUGAUUGAUGAGGCUAAGGACAUAUCGGUAUGAGAUUCUAUCCUUUGGCCAAAACUGAAGCAUGUUGAUGUACAGGAGGAUGGAAACAACAGGUGGACUAGAGAUUUUUCAAGUAGAAGCAUUGUAUUGAAAGGGCGAAAAGAUUGUGGACUUUGUUGGUGUGCACUGGAUGUUAUCAGGGACGUGAAAGUUGAUCGGGUCCUGCAACUUUUGAAGCAAUAUGGUUCAGCAAAAUUGGUGAUCAUUAAUUCCUUGAGUAUACCAUGGGAUCCAGGCGGCUCUCGUGUGACAUUGGCUGGGCGUUCUUCUUGUCACAUUGGCUACAUUACAAGAGAAGUAUUAACAGAGGAAAUCAAGUAUAAAUCAUUGCAUCAAACAUAUCCGUUGGUGAAGUUUCCACAAUUAAGGUCAUCGGCUUGGGGACAAGCCGAAUUUUAAGAAAUGGGGAUUGUUAGGAACUCUUGUGGGCUGCAAUGUGGGUCAGUUCAGUGGCCUUCUAAGCCUAGCCCAACCAAGACAAGGAGGAGAACUACAAAACAGCAAAGCUACACUUUCAGGGGCUAUCGCAAGAUCAAUUGGCGAACGGCGACGGCGGCGGCGACCUGGUGGCCAGUUGGCACCUUGUCGAUUUCCUUCCAACCUACCUUCCUUCUCCCUCUAUCUUCUCCAUCUUCCACCACUUGUAUCCCUUAGUUCAUCCUCCUUCCACCUCUAUUUACUGGAGUAUGGUUGCUAUUGUAUUGGAUGCUUGCAUAUUUGAGUGGAAUUGAGAUCAGAGGUUGGAGUUCCUAACACACCGCCAAUGUUCGGCCCUGCGACAUGAAAGGUAGGUUUCCUCCAAGACCAGCAGCAACGGUGUAUAGGCUACACAGGUGAUGUCACAACCAUGCCACUUGCCUGCUGCUGGUGCCUCCAUCUCCCUAACUCACGGAGCAUUUCUUCAGAUCUACAGCCAUGCCAUGCUGAGUCAGGUCCGAUCUACAGCCAUGCCAUGCGGAAUCAGGUCUGAUCCAAUUCCCUACUUGCUCCUCUCCUUUUAUCCUGGUUUACUCUUUCGCUCUCCGAUAUUUGAUUUAUGGCUUGUUCGUGAUUCGUUUGGUUAAUCACGCAUUAGUUUGUUGUUUGCACAUUUAAUCCUCUAAGCAUUAUAAUUGGUUUAUUUCAAAUUUUGUAAUAUAGAAAGAUUCUGCUGACUUGAAAAAAAAAGAUCUGUAAUAAGAUGGCUGAAGUCUUCAUUUCUGUCAGCAACGCGUAACUAGGCUGCACAUGCUCCUUUUUCUUCCAAUUCUAAAUGUGAAGUUAAGAUAUGUGAUUCACUUCCAUCUUAGUUUUGAGAUGCAGCGGUUCGUAGCUUCCCUUGAAAAUCUCAUUUGUUUUUUAAUCCAAUUGCAGGGUGCCGUUGCUCUCCUGGUUUGGAGGUUGGACCAUUUUCUAAGUCAUCUUUAGAUUUCAUAAAAAUAAUAUUAAAGUGAUUAGAAGAAAUUAAGUUAUCCUAAUUCGUGUCUCAAAGUUGGUAAUCGACAACACACUUCGUUAGAACAUAAUAUGUUUUUUUUCAUCAAAAUCAACAGCUCUCGAGUCCAAACAUCAUUGGAAGCUUUUUGGCUCCAUGGCAGAUUAUUUUUUCUUUUAUCCCAUAGUUAUUUUUCUGUGUCGCACUGCUCUACCUCUGGAAUUUUCAUAAUUCCAUAAUUCAAGCAAAAGUGUUUCAAUAUUUUUUUAUACUAUUUUUGGUAAUAGCAUCGAUUUCAUGCCAGUGGCAAGCCUAUCAAGUAUUUUAAUCAAAGAAUGGAACGCUUUUUGUAGAUGUACAGGGAAAAUGGAAAUGGUACAGGUAUUUCAUAUUGUCCUACGAGGUAAUAUUUCUUCACUCGGUAAUCUGUUCAGUCAAUGAAAAGUUGUGCAAUCUCCUGACUCUUUCAGGACAUCGACAUAACUACUACAUGGACAGGGAAGAGUUAUGAGGUAUUAAAGGCCUGAGAUUCAUGGAAAAACAUAUCCUCGGGCAACAUGUUCAUUAAUGUACCAAUGUGCUUGAUAGAAUCCCACUGCAAGGAAAUUUGUAUUGUUCUGAUCAAGGCACAAGUACAGGAGAAAAUUGACGUAUUUUUGGAUAUGCAAGCACUGGGCAUUCAAAUAAGAUCUUUUUGUCAUGCUUUCUAUUUUCUAUUUAACUACUGGAGUAUAACGUCUAUUUUCCCCUGAGCCAAAAUACAGAUGAAUUGUUCUGCAGAGUGUAAAAUUGGGCACAAAAAUGCUGAGUAAUUGCACCAUAAAUCAAUAAAUCACUACGUACUUAUACAGAUUGGAGCUGUUUAUUUUCCUUCCACUCAGGCUUCUUGCUGUUGGUGCAAAUGGACUUGCAAUCAAAUCAAAUGCCCUGUCAUGAGAAGGAAGAGGUGGCCUGGCCAGCCGAGGUCGCGACCGAUGUGCUUGCAAUCAGCGGCAAAGUGGAAGCUAGAGCAGCCGGAUGUCAGCGAGAGCAUGCACUGCCUCAAUCAUGAGCUUGCAUCGCCGAGCUUAAUUCGGAGUCUGCCAUCAACAUAGGUCAUCUUUCCUAACCAACCUCAAUUUGUUUACUUGGUCCACAUCUUUGGCUUCGUACCUCAAGUUUGAUGUAAUUCCUUCAUUUAUGCGCCGGUUAAGUUAUUGCUUGGUUUGCUCUUGUUAUUAAUGAAUUCUUACUAUUUAUAUGAGCAUCUUACAUGACAAAUGCAGAUUGCUACUUACUUUGUCUAGGUAUAUUCACAAGGUCAUUUUUCUUAAAAGUUGAAUUGUUCCCUCUAAAUGAAGGCUUAUUCAACCUAUAGGAAUAAGUUUUUAAAAGUUGAAUUGUUCCCUAGCCUGAAGCAAAUCUCUUUCCUGUUUGAACUCUACAGGAAUGAGCAGUAAUGAGGCUUGAAGGUGAUACAGUUAUCGACUUGAAAUUGUAGUCGGAUAAAGUAUUUGAUUAUUUGCCUCCACAUUUGAUUCGUAUAUAUUAGUUUAACAAAUACAUAAUUGAAAGUGAAGGAUCUGACCUAUAACUGACGCCUAAUGGUAGGCAUUUAAAGGAAUCUGAAAUUGUAACUAACUUUCUUUUGUACGAAAGAAUUCAAAUACAUAAAUGUGCAGAUGCAGCGAGGCUUUUUCAGAAACAAAUAUGAUUCUUACUGUUAAAAUAUCCUCUACCUGGCAGACAUCUAAGGAAGUGUACUCAUUUGAAUUCUGAUUUUGCUUUUUCUCAGGGUUGUUUCAUGUUCUAAAGAGUGUCAUCUGCAAUGCGAUAGCUUUAGAGAGAUGAAAGUCCAAUUAUGCUAGAUUAUCAGUUUUUUUGCAAGGAUGCUAGAAUAUCACUUUGACUUGUUUGGUACUGUCCAAUGCCAAUAGUGGCAAUGAAGACAACUCUUUAUACAUCAUCAGAGGAAAUGCUGACUCCAUUAUUUGUGAUAGAAAAUGUUAAACAUGGUGGAAGCAGGGGAGUAGAAUGUGGAGCAAAUAUAAAUAUAUUUUGAAGCUAGGCAGGACAUGAGGGUGCUCAUACAAAGUGAUUUCUGAGAGCUCAGAUUAAUUUUCUAUCUAUAAAUAACCAUCUCCAUAAAUGGGGUAUAUAUAUGUUUUUUUAAUAGAAGUUUUGCAUACAUUUUUUUGUGCAGUUUCUAUACUCUAGCUAGCGCUGGAAUGGUCCUACUUCUUUCAUUUACAACAUAUCAGCUUGGUUUCCCAUUUGGACUUAAAACUGUAAAUAUGGCAAGCAUGUAGAUAAAGUUGAUCCUACAUGCAUGCCACAACUUAUCAGACAUACCGUCUGCAUACUCUGAUUGUACAUUCAUGUCCAUACAGGGGAGUAAGUUCGGUAAAUUCAUCUUAGUGAACAGAACAUUUGUGCAUUUCAUUCAAUUUUUUGUUUUGUGGUGAUGAGAAGACUAUGUCAUUUGUUAUUCUUCUAUAAGAAAAUAAUUUGUUAUUCUUGUGUAAGAAAAUUGUUUGUUAUUCUUCUAUCUAUACUAAUAUAAAAAGCAUGAGUUUACCCUGCAAUCCAACUGGUGAAAUCACCUAUACCGUGUCUAAUCCAUCACCCACGCAAUCCUUGCCGCUCCAUCCUCCUGGCGCAAACAAUGCCACCAGCCACCACGCCCUCCUCCCUGAAUGAGCCUCAUUACUCCAGUAUAUGCUCCUCCCUAUUAGCGCCACUCCAUCGCUAUUCGUUGCGUUGGUCGAUCAUCGUUGCCACUCGCUAAGCGUCUCGACCGCUGGUUAUUGUUGUGGCGCACCGACAGCUUUCACCAUGACCCCCGGCCACUGGUCCUCGCUGCACGCUGCUGCAUGAUGGCCAUGGUGGCUCUCGAGUGUGGAGACGACAGGGCGAAGGGUGGAGUGAUGUCGAGGCUAGCGGAAUCAAGCAGAUCUAGAGGCCACGUCGCCGGCCGGCCUGUCCGUCGCCACCUAGGCGCUCGCCUCUCAGCCCUCCCGCCUUUAGCUGCUGCCGCGUCGACUGCCACCUUAGGAUUUGAAGGUGGUGCUCUACAACAGGGACGGCGCCACUGUGCCACCAUGGUCAUGAUGGCCCUGGUCCCUGGAGGUCAGGAGGGCAGGGAGGAGACCUCGCUCCGUGACCCCGACGCCGCCGCCGCCGCCGCCGGUUCCUGCACCAUCGUGGGCUCGCGGCAAUGUCGCCCCCUUACAUCUUCUGUGCCGCGCCAUCCAUCACCAUUCACCACGGUCACUCUGUUUCCAUAUCUAUGUCCACGGUUCAUUUGGGUUCUGGUAAGGGAGUUCCUACUCAUCCGAGUCCACAUUUCGGUUCUUCAGUUUUGUUCCGGUAAGGCAAUUUCUAAUUUUCGUUGACUGCCCCGCUUGCUGAUUUCCCUUCCUACUUUUCGUGGACAUCAGGAAGAGGAGGUCCACUGCCAUGUGUGUGAGAGCGACUUGAUCUAAUUUUUCAUGCUUGUGGUGUACAUUGAAAUUUUCUUCACGAUUAUCGUCCUUGCUAUGAAAUGCUUAUGCUAAUGAUUUGAUUGGUAAUCUUUCGAUAUGGAUUGAUCACUGAAUACUGAUGCAUUGGAUCCUUGGAGUGACCGUACAAUGCUUUGCAUUUCUAAUCGUUGUCCCCUACUUUAUACUUCAUUCAGUUCAUGGUAUAUCUCAUUAAUCGAGAAGAAAUUGAUAUGGUACCAAACGAGAUAAGACAAACAAGUUCUUGGACUGUAUGUGGUUACUUUUAAAAGUUAGCAUUCUAACAAGUAUGUUUGUAUAACUUUUUUUCGGUUAUAAUUUCCUUUUUUAUUUGAGUGAAUGCUCAGGUUAUAAUUUUAAUAGUAUAUUGUUAUCUAAAUAAAUGCGGCGCGAAGGUCAUGAGGUAGUUCUGAAAUUUCAGAGAAAUCUUCGAAGAUUUAUAUUUGGAAAAUUCAUAAACAGAGAUAAUGGCAAAUCCCUGGUUUUUGACCAUGGAACUGGAGAGUACAUUUAUCACCAAUGUUGCAUUAGAGUUUGUUUUCAAUAUCUGGAAAUUUUCUUAUUAAUUAUUGGCACCGUGUACAUGAAGCUUUUAUUGUUGAAGUCUCAAUUAACUUCUUACUCCAUUUUGUGUUCCAUGGAAUAUUCUUCUCCUUUUCAUCCCUGAAGCUAAUUUUUGUGUCUUCUUUUUAUCAGGCGAGUGAAUGAAUUUUCUUUUAAUUAGAAAGGUUACCCCCUCCCAUUUCUACUAAAUUAAACUGAUAUGUUUACAGCACAAGAGUCAUCCAGGCUAACAACAAGAAAACGAAGAACUGAUUUUACUUCUUCAUAAACAGGUGCAGAAAUUAGAUAGAAAGAUAACACAAUAUUAAGAUUGCUAGAAAAGAGUUCUAGUUUGCAUGGAGCAAUAACCCUUCCAGUCCGUCAGUUCCAUAUUACUGAAUGUAAAUUAUCGGUAAUAAGAAAUAUCUCAUAGUUUCUUAUUACCGAAUGCUAAUCCAUUGAUUUAAUUUCAGUUCUGGGCUUUUGUCAUCAUGUAUAAACAAAUAAUACCUUCGAGGAUUUUAUUGCCUUCUUAGUUCAAUUUUGGUAAUAUAUUUCUCCCAUGAUGGGAAUCAUGUCCCUUUUUACAGCUUACAUCAAGAUUCUUAAACUAGACUGUUCAUUUUACUUCUGCAGAUUAUUUCACUACUUUCUUGGUUUUAUUUCCUGUCAUCAGAUUUUACAUUCACAUGUACAAAUGAAGUAAUGGUUACCAUUAUUUUUGCUUGCUCUAUAUGUAUGCACCCAUAUGGCUUUUUACUAACCAAGCCGUAGUAUACUGGUAUCUGAUCCGGCUAGCUUGAUCCUCAUAUCCUUCCAUACAUUAUGGCAUUUCCGUUUGCCAGCCAAUGGAGUGCGCUCCUUUUUGCUCUAUCCUUUUUUUAUAUAAAGUUUUAUUGUGCUCCCCUGUAUUUUCCAAUAUUGUGAUUCCUUCAACAGAUCCACACAUUGCUUACGAUACAUGACUUUAGUUUUUUUGUCUAAAACUUGAUGUGCGCUUUUCUUUUGCAGUAUUUUUGUUGAAGUCAAAUUUCAAUGGCAAAUCAAUUUAAACCAUCUUAUACUUAAAUGGCUGGGAAGUUAGCUAUAAGCAGGUGAUGGAGAUAAUUUUGUUGUAGACAUAGGAUUGAGCUCACUUCUGUUGACAUCAAUAUAAGCACACAAGGUUCAAGAAAGUUUCAGUAAGAAAAUUGUUUUUUAGUUCACAAUAACGAUGUGUUGAUCUCUUUUGAGAUUGUUGUUGCAACUCCAGUCCCGUACAUCACACGUAGUUAAUAGCUCAGUUAUUUCUGAAUUUUGAUACUACUUUUAGAGCUACUGACCUAAAAAUUCCUAAAUUUAUAAUAUGAUUAUGAAUUUCCCAUGAUAUAUUUUAUGGAAAAUGUGCAUUGCAUGUGCACGCUUACUAGUAUUGAACAAAAUUAUUUUGUGGUUUACUUAGUAACCAUGAUUCAUUGAUUCCAUCCAAGUUCCCGUUAAAAUUUUCUCCUUUGUGCGCUUACAUAGAAAUUGUGUUGAGAAAUAUAAAAAAAUGUAUGCCCUUUAUUAUCAUUUGUACUCCAGGUUAAUGGUGUAGAUCCUCUGGUCAACCAUUUCCACCAUCACCCUCUGGAUCAAGCAGUUGUCAUCCUCAAGAUUGCCCCACAACUAUUGAGGUUGAGUUCGCAUGUCGCCACUACCCUCGAGUUCCCCCGCUAGCUACUAUUUCUAAACGGGUGAGAAUCCUAUAUCAUAAUGUCGCUACCAUUACAGUCAUUGGUACACGGGUCUCAACUUAUUAUUGCCCCACACGUCAGUUUCUAUAAUGAUAGUGUUAUUAUAGUAGAGGAUGUGAACCCAUCCUAAAUAGUGACAUUGAUACAUCUUCAUCGCUGUCACUGUCUCCAAAUCCGACAAAUGAUAUACUAGCAGCAGCGUAAUGGAACUAGAGAUGGCAAUGGUUCCCUAGUCCUUGGAUUCCCCGCGGUGAAUCCUCCCAUUAGGAGGAGGGGGUGGUAUAAAAUAUGUCUCCACGGAACAUUAAAUGGAGUAAAAACACUCUCCAUCGGGUCUGGCGGGGGCGGGUUUGGUUCACCAUCCCUCGUCCCCGCUCUCCGUGGAGGUCCGACGUAACAAUGUAUGUGUAAUAUUAUCAUGUAUAUUUGGCCCAUCUAGCCCAUAGAAACUAGGCCCAAAACGUAGAGUAUAUAAAGUAUCUACAAAACCCUAGCCAUUCCAAUCCCUUCUCCCUUUCGUCCCCAUUCCCCACGCCGUCGCAGGCUCGUAGCCUAGCUAGCGGCGUGCCGGUGCCGACUCCCGAUCUCAAUCUCGUAGGGCCGCCGCGCGCCUGCCGCGUCAGCACCCUCGCAGGGUCGCCGGCUUGUCGUGCUCGCGUCCGCGCAGGGCCGCUGCGCCUCCAGGUCUCGGCACUGCCGCACCAGGUCCCAGCGCCACAGUCGUCUCGGUCUCUCGGCAGCACUGAGGACGCCAAGGACUUGGCACCGGCCACCAGACGUUGGGCUCAUCCUCCACUGUCCAUCCAUCCAUUCUGAAUUUCUGAUCCGUCAUCUGGGCUUAUUUGUUUUACUGAUGGUGGAUGCAGGUGAAGGCUACGGUGGCAAGAAAGACCUACUCCGAACUAUGUUUUUGUGUAUGCCUGGACAACAUGUGUAGCGGUGAUAACUAAUGAGUGAUCGACUGGUGAUUGAUUAAUGAUCAUGUGUUAUUGUGUUGUUGCUUAAUAUGAGAAUUUGAUGGAUAGUGUUGCUGAGGGGAAAUUCUUGGGUACAAAUUUGUUGUACUGCUUGUUGCUGCAAUGCUGUUGCAACUGAAUAAGUAAUAAACUGAUGAUGUGCAUUUGUGAAUUUGUGAACUUGUGAUAUGAAUUUGUGAACUUGUUUUCUUGUAUAAUUAUGUUGUUGUCAUGUGCUGAAAUUGCAUGGCCAGAAUUGCUAUUUUGAGUGAUAAUCUUUUUAUCAAAAUUAUUGUUUGAUAUGUGAAAUAUAUACAUGAGACUCGCGGGGAUGGAGGCUCCACGGAGGCGAUGAUGGUGAAAGAUGUUACCCCGUUGCAUUUCACGGUGAUGGUGAUAGGGGAAAUUCUCCUCCACCGAGGCGGGUCUGGUGGUGUAACCUCCGACGGAGAAUUCCCCGUUGCCAUCUCUAAAUGGAACAAGCAUGCUCGGCCCGAUGGAUCUGUACGUGCUCAACGCCAAGCGCACCAAAGGUCUUAGGCUCGAUUGAUAUUGAUCACUUACCCAAUUAAAUAUUAAAUCACUUAUUCCUUUUAUGUAUGUAAGCAAGCAUCAGAUAGAGCCCUGGUACACGUGAAAACGCAUGCAGUGGCAGAGGAUUCAGGGGGAUGACGAAGAAAGUGGAUGGGGAGUUGCGAUUGCCAAGAUCAUUGAUGCCGUUCUCAAUGUGGGAAAACACAUAAUAGAUAUAGGGUGUGUUUAGUUCACGUUAAAAUUGAAAGUUUGAUUGAAAUUGGAAUGAUGUGAUGGAAAAAUUGAAAGUUUGUGUGUGUAGGAAAGUUUUGAUGUGAUGUAAAAGUUGAAGGUUUGAAGAAAAAGUUAGGAACUAAACUAGGCCAUAUAUGUAGGUGUUGAUGAACUUGACUGCAUGUAUUGGCCUGUUCAAGUUCACUGUCAUUGGUGCAUGGAGCAUAUAAAUACACGCGAAAACUUUUCAUUAUAUCAGAUCGUGAAUAUUUGGACACAUGUAUGGAGUAUUAAAUAUAGAUAAAAAAAACUAAUUACACAGAUUACGUGUAAAUUGCGAGACGAAUCUUUUAAGCCUAAUUGCUACAUAAUUUGAUAAAGUAGUGCUAAAGUAAACAUUUACUAAUGACGGAUUAAUUAUGUUUAAUAAAUUCGUCUCGCAGUUUACAGGCGAAAUUUAUAAUUUAUUUUGAGUAUACGUUUAAUACUUCUAAUGUGUUCCCGUAUAUCCAAUAUGGCACGCUAAAACUUUUCACCCGUGAAUCUCCUAGCCUAACUUAAACACUCUCAAACAGACAUGUAAUUACAGAUGCACACAUGCUGUCACACAUGCAAGAUUAGAUCGAUAUAAUCAACUUUAUCCAAUUUUAAUUGCUCCAUCACUAGCUAGCCAUUGUUUACACGUUCCCUCCAAUAAAUCGCCAUCGACUUCACUGCUGCCACUUCCGUCGCCACCGACUCAGCUGCCGUUGCCACCGCCGUCGUCGCCACAACUGUCAUCUUUGGUGCCGCCACUAUACGAUGUCCCAGACAAGACAGUGAGUUUAAGUUCAACUAGCAAUAAUCACGCGCUACGCUGCGUGUGGAUUUGAAGGUAACAUCAUACUCAAAGCAGCCCAAAAUGGUUACAGUUGUCAAGUUUGCGCCAAGAGCAUACUUGCAUUUACACUUUAUUAAUAUUUUCAAGAUCAAAUGUGAAUUGUUCUGAUCGGUUCGUUCAGAGAACAAUUUGUACAACCAAUGCACAGUAGUGUAAAAGCCUUUCCAGUGUGAUGUAGAUUACAGAAAAAGAUCAAUGUUGAGUCGGUAAUCAUUAGAAGGCAAGGCGCAUACCUGAAAAUUUUUCAUAUAGAAAUCUUCAUCACGAAACAAUGAGAUCUUUUCACAUAGCACCUGCAUUGUGAAGGAUAUUUUAGUGUUUCGGCGCAAUAAAAACAACAGUAUAUAACCAAAUGUAUGUGCAGCAAUUUAGAUGACUGCUGCUUACUUGGAAAGUGCCAGUGACUACUGAGCUAUGUCCAAUAGGCCAACAUUAUGUCCAAGAGUUCGGUUUUACAUGCAUGAAGUGGAAACAAAAUGUUGCAAUUUCGAUUGAUUAAGCGCAAAAAUAACUAAUGAAAUCAUAAUGUCAAGUCAACCUAUGAUGCAAACUUCAUAGAAGUAUAUGUAAAAACAGAGAUUCAAUUUGAAAGAUGAUGGGUCAGUAGCAAAUUCCAGAAAUAUCGCUGUAAGGAAAAAAAAGAAAGAAAGACCCCAUGUGCACCUAUUGAAGCAUAUUUUUUUUAUAUCCAUCAUUUAGAGACUUAUUUAGUAUAUCUGACAAUUGUAGUUGCUAUGAUUAAUCGAAUUUACGGAGACUACCUAGAUGAGAUGGCCAAGAGACUUUUAGCAUGAUAUGAUAUACUUACCUUAAUCGUGGCCAAAAGACUUGAAACAUGAUAUGAUAUAGUUGCUCUGAGGUAUGGAGGUAUGGCUAUUUAAAGUUAUUUGCAUGAUCCAAAUAUAGGGGUAAAAGGUGGGGGGGGGGGGGGGGGCAGCAAAUCAGCAGAAAAAUUAUCAUAGAUGGGAAACAUACCAGAUGGAGCAUGUGGUUGCUGAUUUACAUUCCAUGCCAAGGAAUAAAAGGGAACAUAUAAUUUAUAAGUUUGUAUUGUCCACUUGCUAUUUAAAUUCAGAAUAUGUAGAUUAUUUUAAAGUAAUGAUAUUAUCUGAAUAUCCUUUUUCCAGAAUAUGCAGACACAUUUCAGGUUUAUAAGCUUGAAAAAAAAGGCACUAACGAACAUUCCAUCGUUGGUCAAAGAAUCCCAUCAUAGAUCAACUGGCCUAAAAAAGAAGAAAAAUAAGUGUUUCAUGCAUAGAAAGUGGUUUCAAUUUUAUAUCCAUCUGUUGGAUAUUAAGACAAAACUUGAAGGAGAAUAACUAUUCCACAUUGGUUCCAGAUAAUUAAUUACAUCCUUUUCAUGAGAAAGCAACAAUUAACAAUUACUUUUGUUCCCCAUAACACAUUGGGCCAGCUGUACUUCCCAACUAUCAUGAACAAUUUGUUUAAACAAAAAUUAGCAAUAAAGCACAUGGGACAUUAUUCAAAUACCAGUAUGUCCACUAUCAUUGUCAGUAAGUUCCAAACACUGUCAAUGGAUUGUAGUUCCUACACUAUAAGAACUACCUCAUCCAAUAUCCUACUAUCCCCAACUGGUUGUCAAUAACUGUAAGCCUACCUGACCAUUUGAAAUAAAAUAUUUGAUAGUUUUGGAACACAGGUAGCUGCUUAAAUAGUAUAUAGUCUUCAAUAUGAAAUGUCACAUUUUAGCAAUAUGACUAUGCAUGUAGCAUGUUAAGCAUAUUUCUCUUAUCAAUAACUAUUUCAAUUCUAAACAAAAACUACAACAUGAGUAUAUGUUUUUCUUUAUUGCCUAAAUUCACACACCUCAGAUGAGAUACCAUACUUCCCAAAAAUGCAUUAGUGCUCGUACAGAGAGAACCUAGCUAGUAUUUCUUAGUAUACCUCUAGCUAAGAAGAGGAACCAAAUUAGGCGACAAAGACUAAUGCACCUCGUGCAAGCUGGUGUAUAAUAAAAAAAAGUCCCAUGGCUACAGCAUAGGACAAUCUUUGUUAAAAUUCCAGUUCUAAAUAGGUUACAAUGACUUCGUAUGAUGUUCAAAAAAAGUAAUUGAUUCGUAUUGAGGCAAAACAAAACUUACAUAGAUAUGUUCCACUUCAUAUGCACUGGGAGGGAUACCUGCAUCUAGAGAAGCUUAUAAGCACUGAUAAAUAAAGAACAGUAGGGCAUUUAGGGCAUUUAUAGUAUGGUCUGAAAGGCUUUGAGUUGGAUCUGCACUAUUAUGUUUCUUGUGUACAUAAUAUGAACUGAAUCAGCCCAAGAAGAACUUUACCUUGGCAACCAAAGAGAAUCAUUACAUACAUGUCAAAGGUAUCCUAAGCUUGAUAUAAUGAACGAAAGCCCCAAAUCGCAUAAAUAUGCCCUGCAUCACAAAUGGGAACAAAUAAACCUAUCAACAAUAUCGUUUUGCCCUCCAAAGUUGUAUAUGCAAUUCCUAACUGAAACAAUUAAUCACAGCAUAGAGAAUUUUGAGUAGCAGCGUGUGUUGUUUCAAGCUAAACAGUUUGAUCACACAUGACAGUGUUGAAGUACAUGCAGAGGGAAAUUUCUCCACACAACCUACACACUAUAACUGAAUAAUGCCAUACACAUUAAAAGCAAAUCAAGACUGGCACUGUAACUAAAUCAAGGCUUACACAUUAGAAGCAAAUCACGGUUGUAAUCAUCAACAACUAAGGUCCAACCACUUCCUUCUCAUGGCCCUAUGACACUGAGCUAGAACGAAAAGGAAAAAAGAGAACAGGAACGACCAGGCAGCUAUUGUCGCGGAGCCGCAGCUGUCUUCAUCGCGGUCCUGGUCAAGCCGACACUCUCCCUUCCCUUCUCAUGGCACUGAGCGAGGCUCUCAUGGAGAGGGAGAGGAGAAGAUGGCAGUGGCGGCGGCCGGAGAGGGACAGGAGAAGAGGGCAGCGGCGGCACCCUAUUGACUCCAUCCGGGCGACCGAUUCAACUGGAGGGGAGGCCAAGAUUGAUGAAUCAGACGGUCCCCGAGCCAUAUUUGACACCGCAGAGAGGGAGCGGCGGUGGCAGCACGGUAGAGGAGAAGGGAGCUGCGGCGGCGACGGCGCUUGCGAGCGGAGGAGGUGGGCGUCUGGGCGCCGGAUCCGCCGGCGAGGAGACCGGGGUCACCGGAUCCGGCGGUCCCGGCCUCCUCACUAGGAGAUCCGGCGGGUCAUUGGGAGGGAGCGGCGGCGGCAGCACAGUAGAGGAGAGGGAGCUGCGGCGACGACGGCGCACGCGAGCGCAAGAGGCGGGCGAGGUUGCGGUGCGAGCUGAGGAGGUGGGCGACGGCGCACGCGAGCGCAGGAGGCGGGCGAGGUUGCAGAGCGAGCGGAGGAGGUUGCGGCGCGCGUGUAGGGAGAGGAGAGGACGGGCGGCUAGGGUUUGUACCGGUUGGCGAAAUCCAGGCCGUCCGUCCAUAAUCCGACGAUCGCACGGGUAAGGAAGGGCCAGCACAGCGGGACACGUGGACGGCCAGAUUGACCCUACGGUGAGAUCGGACGGUGGAAAGAAGCGAGGACCGGCGCAUAAUUAUCCGAAAGUGCAGGGGUUUUUUCGCCAAAAUUGAUGAUGUGGCACUCUACUCUUCCCGCGUUCCCACGGCUUUUAAGUAAACCUAUAUAUUAACUAUUUAGUAUUCGGUUAACCUUAUCUUGAGAGGUAGCUACAAAAUUAUGGUGCAAUACAUCUGUUCAAUACUAAUUUAGUACUUCAUCCGUUUCACUUUAUAAAACAUCUAUUUCCUUGUCUAAAUGCAACAUCUAUAUGAAAUUAUGUGUCCAAAUUCAUAUCGAACCAUACAUGAAUCUUUUUAAAAUCCAAAAAUUCUUAUAAUAUAAAUAAUUAAUUAUCACACUCCGAUUAACGACAACUUGCUUUCAUUAGGCCCCCUCCAAUAUGAGCCAAUCAUGUAUUUUCACCACGCUUUAGGACUUUGGCAUAGCAUAUGUGCUGGCCACAUGGAAGUGAUGCAACAGUUAACAACGCUUUGCUAAGAUUAGAAUAAGGCAACAUUGAAGUGAUUAAUGGGGUUGUUCUCAGUACUAACUCUGUUUUCUUAGGUUUCGUUCAUGGACGGUAGAUAUGUUCAAAGUUCGUUUCUAAUUUUCUAUGUUGCUUAAUACUUGUUUCUAAAUCAGCUCCAAACUCUUAGUAUAUAGCAUAGAAUAAUGUGAAAUACCAUGAUGUAUACAAGUAAUUCAAGAAGCUAUUUCUGUGAUAUGAAUGCAGUCCGGCCAUCGAAAAAAGCAAGAAGUUCCAAAUGUAUGGAUAAUAUGCACACCUUUAUUGUAUUUCAAUCUAUUUAAAUAUGCCAACCACUUACACUUAAUUUAUUUGGAUAAUUAUUUUUUUCACAUGUAAAAUUAUGAAAAAAUUGAUGUGAGUUGGCAUGGAACUGAAUCUCAAUUUAAUUUAGACAUAUAUACAAAUUAGGCAAAUUUUGCUAUAGGACAUCACGACUUCGUGGUUUUAGCCGUAGGACACCGCACAAACUCACUUUUAGGGGAAAAAACACUCUUUAAACGUGCUUAUUUGCCACUGGACACCACGUCCAUUAAAAUAUUAAUUUUCGGUUGAAUAGAAGAGAUAAAUAGUAUGAAAGGUCAAAAAUACCCCUGACCCCACUUGUCAUAUUCUUCCUCUUCCUCCUGGUUGUGCAGCUUCUCCCCGGACUGUUGCCGGUCCAAGUGCGUCGGCUGGAACACGCUCAUGGAUUCCCUGCCUGCUAUGUCCUGCUCGUAGUAUAGGUCCUUGAUCCUCUCGGAGUAGGCGCCAUGUAGCGACACGACGAGCACCGGCUUGCGCCUCCCCGGCCGCGCCGCCCGGCUGCUCUCCGGCAGUGGUAAAGUUGAGCUCCUGCUGCACACGGGGCAGGAUGUUCUCUCCAUGCGCGCACAACAUGAUCUGGCCGUAGAGCUCGUCGGUGGAGAUGCGCGCCAAGUAGAAGGAGCACACCUGGAUGCCGACACGCUACUCAGUGUAGGCCAUGUACGAGGCAUGGUACCACGUUCCUCGGGUGGAGCAGGUAGCGGCCGAGGAGGUGGAACGCAGCAUCGUGGCACGGGAACAUCCGCGGCAGCACGCGCUCGAUGCGCGAGACCAGGAACAGUCCGAGCACGAAGUAGUUGUCGGAGAGGAGCACCAUCCAGUCGACGCGCCACAAUGCGUCCAGCCCGUCGUCGCAGAAGAAGCGCGGCUCAUUGCCGUUGCGGUUGAAGUACGUCGUGCUGCAGGUGCAUGUACAUCCAUGGCGGUAGUGGGUCUCGGGCAGCGCGUUGCCGCGCCGCAGCGCGUUGCCGAGGCUCUCGCGGGUGCACGCGUUGAAGCCCCGGAUGCCGGAAAACGGGAAGUCCCCCUCCGGUAGUGUCCACGUUGAGCCCGGGAAUUGCUCGCAGAUGAGAUAAGGAAGAAGAGAGGAUGGGGAAGAGAAAGGAGGGGUAAUUUGGUUACUCUGCAUAAAAAUAUGGGCCCGUGUCGCCUUGUCAGCACGAAUACGUUAUUUUAAUAGGGGCAGUAUCCGCUGGCAAAUAACCACAUUUAGAGAGUGUUUUCUCCUAAAAGUGAGUUCGUGCGGUGUCCUACAACUAAAAUCACGAAAUCGCGAUGUCCUGUAACAAAAUUUGCCUACAAAUUAACGCCGAUGGCACAACAGAAAAAAGUAAAUCACUAUUUUUAUUUUAUACUCCCCCGUCUAAAAAAACAGACCUAGAACUGUAUGUGAUACAUUCUAAUACAACAAAUCUGGAUAGAGUUAUGUCCCAGAUUUGUAAUAAUAGGAUGUGUCAUAUCCAGUGCUAGAUUGGAUUUUUAUGGAACGGAUGGAGUAACUAUGAUAUAUGUUUGUGCUCGUGAUUUUGCUUUUAUAAUUGUAGUCGAUCAUCUACGGAACUAUUUAUGUGUGUAUAUGUAGCCAUUCUAUAUCUAUAUAUUAGACACUACCACUCCCCUCUCUCUCUACGUUAUCUCUUUUCUCAGCCUUCCCGGCUUACCACCUUUUCCCCACCUUCUUCCCUGCUUCCCCUCCUCUCCACCGUCAACAGCGGGCGUCGGUGGCGGCCCCGUGGGUGCGCCUCCACGCCACCCGCAGCACCCAGGAUGAGGAGGUCAAGGUCGACGCCACCAUGUUCGACGGCGCCGCCGUCCCGCCCCCAGACGCGCCCCUCUUCCGCCGCGUCGAGUCGCUCGACCACGUCCCGCGCCUCCACCUCGGCCUCAUCAUCGAGGCCUCUACCGCGACAUGUUGCACCAGCACCAGAAAUCAUGUUGUACGGAAGCUUUUGUGAUUUUGCUCUCUGGUUUAUGUGGUUUGUGAAGUUCCACUUCUGUAAAUGAUUCGCAGCAAGCUGGAGGCUAGGGAGAGGGAGUACGUGAGGAAAUUCUUGCAGGAGAGGGCGGCGGCGGCAGCGGCGGCCGGGCGAGGCGGCGCUCCCACGGGAGAUUCACGACGAGAUCGGCCUAGAGUUCCUCGGCAACGUCACCGGCAAGCCAUACACGCUCCACGCCAACAUCUUCGCCAACGGCGUCGGCAGCCGCGAGCAGCAGUCGUCGCAUCUCCUCCUGGUCGUGGUCCUCAUCGUGCACAUCGUCGCUCGGCUCCCUUGACGACGAUGCCGUCGUUGCGUGCGUCGUCAAGGCGGCGGCGAGCGGGCGAGCGGGCGGCGGCCAUUUUCACUUUUUUUUUGUUUUUUUUCCGUGCGAGCGGUAUAAUAUGACCGCAUCGGGAUAAUCGAUUAUCCCGUGCGGUCCAUUAUCCCAUACGGUUGGGCCGUCCGUACGCGAAAAUAUUGAUUUUUUCAGACAUUUGGGUAUAGACGGGCAAAUCCUCCGCACAGAAAAAUCAUUUUGACCGCAAGGAAAAAUGGUUUUCGCAGUAACGAGAGACCGAAGAAGAUUGUACAAUUAUUAAUUGGGUAAUUUGUAACCAUGCCAUUAUAAUUUUUUAAAGUUUAAGAUAUGCCAUCGGUAUCUCAAUGACACGUAGGACCCACAUGAAUCAAUGACAUGUGGGUCAGGAUGGCAUAUCUCAAAUUUUACAAAAUUAUAAUGGCAUGGUUACAAUUUUCCCUUAUUAAUUUAUGUUCGCAUCGCGUGCGGUUUGAUAAGUGAUUUAACUAGGUUCCUUGUUUUGUCUAAAGCACCACCACCAGAAUCAUCAGUAUAUUUUACUGUGGAUUUUGGAGUACAAUUAAAAAUUCUAUUACACUGACUUAAAAUUUGAAUGACUUUUACCUUUUUAAACUCUAUGGAUGAACCCUAAAAAAAUAAUUGCCGAACAAAAUAUUAUUUCAAACUGGGAGAUGAUGUGGCAGUUUUUUUUAAUUUUAUACAGUGGAUUUUUGGAGUACAAUUAUUUUACCAUUGGCAAGAUGAGCAUAUAUUAUUUUUUUAAAACUUUAAUUUGUUGGAUGGAUAGUAUGAGUACAUUUUAUACAAUCUAUAUGUUCUUUUAUACAGGCUCUGUGUACAGCUCAGAUGAUGCACUUUUCCUGUGUGAAACUCUGAAGUAUGAUUCAUGUCAGGCACGUUUUUUUAGGAUAAUGUCACGUGCCUCUUUUAUUUUUUGCCACGUGUUUGAAAAUUAUUUUAUUUUAGGAUUUUUAUUCAUAUUAAAAUGGAUUGUCCAUUUUAUUUUUUUUAUAUGUAUGACUAUAGUGUACUUUGAGAUAUGUAUGAAUAUGUGUAGCCAUUCUAUGAAGCUUUUUAUUCGGUCAUUCUAUAUCUAUAUAAUGAUUAAUUUAUGAUGAUUAAUUUAUGUGUGCAUGCGUACAGUUUGAUAAGUGAUUUUGGUAUUCGGGCCUUGGCCGUAUUUAGUUCCUCCAAAAUUUUUUUGACACCACAGACACACAUUUAAAGUAUUAAACAUAGACUAAUAAAACAAAUUACAGAUUCCACCUAUAAACUGCGAGACGAAUUUAUUAAGCCUAAUUAAUCUAUCAUUAGCAAAUAUUUACUGUAGCACCACAUUGUCAAAUUAUAGCGUAAUUAGGCUCAAAAGAUUCGUCUCGCAAUUUACAUGCAAACAAUGCAAUUGAUUUUUUUUUCAUCCACAUUUAAUGCUUCAUGCAUGUGUCCAAACAUUUGAUGUGACGGAAUUUUUGGAAGUUUGAAGGGAACUAAACACAACCCUUAUUUAGAUCCCAAAAAAUUUUGGCCAAAAACGUCACAUCAAAUGUUUGGACAAAUGCAUGGGGCAUUAAAUGUGGAAAAAAAAUCAAUUGCAUAGUUUGCAUGUAAAUUGCGAGACGAAUCUUUUGAGCCUAAUUAUGCCAUGAUUUGACAAUGUGAUGCUACAGUAAAUAUUUGCUAAUGACGAAUUAAUUAGACUUAAUAAAUUCAUCUCGCAGUUAUAGGCGGAAUCUGUAAUUUGUUUUGUUAUUAGUCUACGUUUAAUAAUUUAAAUGUGUGUCCGUAUACUUCAAAAACUUUGCACCCAAACAACUAAACACACCCUCAGGCAAUAUAACUUGGUUCUUUUUUUCUCUAAUGCAGCACCACCAUAGUCAACUGUAGAGUUAUCCCUUGGUAUGUGAAGUGAUGAUCAGAGCCAAUGUACCUCUCAAACCGACUCACAAAUGGAUAUCAUCAUUGUUGAAAGAAGGGUUUCAUCGGGGUUUUAACCGAUGAGGUAUGUAGAUGUUGCAUCGGCUUACAAAGAUUGCAUAUAAGUUGGAUUUAGCCAUUCGCAACAAAGGUUUCACUGUUUAUCUAAUCUUGUGGAUUUUAUGACAUGGGACCUCCAGCCAAUAUAUGCUUUAACCAUCGGAAUAUUUAUUUUAUCAUAUCAUUGUUAGCCGAUUAGUUUCUACUGGAUUAUAUUAUUGUUAUUUAUCAUCAUCGGCUGAUGGCCUUUAUGUCAUUUAUUUACUCAAGUAUCAGACUUUGCAUUGGACAUAUAGCCGAUUGCUCAAAACCCUAUCAACAUCUGCUGGUAUCGGCAUCAGUUGGAAUUACUCCGUCUGCUUGUCAGCCAAUCGGCUCAUUGAUCUACUAUUUGCAUAUCUUAUCAGUUGCAGGAUCAAACUGACUGACACUUCUGCAUCUCAUCAACCUUUUGACCUGCACUGGAGCUAAGUAGAUCUCCCAUGCCGUUGGGUUUGUUGACUUAAUUUUGCGCCAACACAGUUCUGGCACCAUCGGCCGAGCGCGGUUUUUUCGUCAACAGGGGGUAAAAUGAAAAAAAAAGGAGAUGCUAAGGUGCCUAUUUUUUCCUCUCAGGGUGGGAUGAGGAUUUGUGGAAGGAUUCCUUAGAAAAGAAGUUUCUUGAAGGGUAUUGAAAAUAUUUCGCAAACUGAGGAAAUAACGGCUAGAAGCAUCGGAACGAAGAAUUGAACGGCUAAAGUUCCCUUAAUGACGUGGUGUUGUAUUUUGCAAGGAAAGGUUUCACUUUUCACUUAUUUAGAUAUAACACACAUGCAUGUAUUUUCGUGCAACUAGUGACUUGCAACACAUGAUCCCUGCUAGAUGCCUGUUGGCAGUCAUUAAACCCUAAAAUCACCACCAAUAUUAUAAUAAAAAUAUCACAUAAAGCAUGUUACCUAGGUCGAUUUUGCCUUAUUUCAAUGAGUUACACGAUUUCUGUUGGAUUUCACUACGCGUAUAAUAAUUCACGAUUUUGACCUAUUUUUUUUCCAAUGAAAAUCUGGCAUUUUAAGCCAAAGGGCUGACCAGCCGACCAACAUACCUCAUGGGUCAACCGGCCUAAAGACUUGGCCGACUAGCCAACUCAGGGCUCGGCCAGCUAUUUGGAAACGUGUCCUGAUUGGCCACCCUCCUCACUGAGCCGGCUGGCCUGCGCAGCACGAUGUGAGGCUAAUGAUUGAUUGGUGGACCCCAUUCUGGGAGUGAUGUCUUCUCGGAUGAGUAACAUGUAGACUUACUUUUCCCUCUUAAUAUUUUAUUCAUACAUUAUGCUUAUUGCCAUACUUUUUUUCCUAGUUCUCUUCUAAGUUUAUUUUUUAUGCUUGCUUGAGUGGAUGCCUCAUUUAUAAUUAAGCUGGGAACAUGUAUAGUUCUAUGUGUGGGUGUGGUGCUUAGGAAUAGUUUUAUCUAGGAAGGCUGGUUGGGGAAACAGAGGACGUAGUUGGCCGGGUGCCGACAGCCUCGGUUGUCCUUUGAAGCCAGCCACGUUAACCCUAAUUACGCUGACGCAAAUAGGUAGACCAAUGCUUAAUGUGGAAAGCAGUCCUGUUUCCAAAGCAAGCAAGGAUAAGUGUAGCUAAAUGGAUUUCCUAGAAUGAAAGCAGUCUUGUGAUGUGGGGAAUAACCCGGGGACUUGAAUCCUGACUAAUUCGAUGAUUUCACAACCAUAUCAUCACAUUCACACAACAAAUACAUAUAUAUAGACAAUAAUGUUCACAUUUCUAAGUGUUAACAAAAGACACACAUCACAUUGGACUAACUGGUCAAAUAAAAGAGAGUCAAACAUAGCGCAAUAAGAGAACAAAAAAAUAUAUACAUUCUUUAGUAUGCCAUCUAACUAACUAGGAAUUACUACCCAUGUCGAAACGCGGAUGACCGCACCGAGAAGGCAAAUUCUUCUUUGCCAAUCGAAGAGCACAAACAAGAAUGAGAUAGAAUACAACCAAAAUUACAGAUGAAUGAUUAAGCUCACAAGUUGGGGUCUUACAAACCGAUCUAGCGGCGAAACUAUUCUCGACAGAAUAUUCUAAGCAAAACCCGACUCUAAACGAUGACGGCUACUUAAUUAAUAUGAUUAGGGACGUCCUAGGGUUGCCCUAGGGCGCACACCCUCAUGGGCUAAGCCCACGACACAAUUAUAAGGCCCAAAACCCAAAUCAGAUUUGGAUUGGAUGAGAUACAUAACUUGUUUUGUAGAUUCCCGACAGCUCGGUAGGAAUUUUGACGUAGGACCAAAACCAUCUAAAAGUAGACUCCAUAAGCUUUCCAACAAGUACUCAUAGGCCCCGAAAUUCCUUCUAGAUCAACAUCUAGGUUCGUUUGAAGUUGAUGCUGUCAGGAGGCCCGAAUCCGAAUCCAAAACGUGUAGAACUUGAUCUCUUGUCUUCUAUGGACCAAAAGUGACGUGGUGAGGUAGAAGUAGACUUGGAGAAGGUCUUGGUUUGGUCCCCAAUCAACUUCUUUGAUCAUCCAUGCAUUCGUUACGCUCGGUCUCUUUUCCUUCGCCCAAGCAAGUACCUCUACAAACAAAAACACAUCAUUGUGUAGCAACGUUUGUUCAAAUAUAUAACAAGUAAAUCUAAUGUAGAACAUAUGUACCUUUGUUUGAUUAAUAUAUAAGGUAUCCAUGGUUAUAUCCAAACUAGUAGUGUCCUCAUCACCUAGCUAGAAGUAUCAUGACGCUAAUGGUGGUGGAUAGAAAAUGGCAAAGGAAGGGAGAUAGUGCUGUUUCCAAAGGCAGAGAUGAAGUAAAAUAGGGUUCAAUGUAAAACAAAAGGGAGAGAGAGAGAGAGCUCAAAGUGAAAAGAAUGUGUAAAGGAGGGCAAAAGUGAAACUUUUGUAGUAAAGAGGUCCACAUUGCAAACCAUCUCUAUGUUUUAAGUUUUGAUGCAUGUAAAAAUAAUGUGACUGUGACAUCCCGGCCCAAUUUGGAUUAGGCCUGUGUGGCCCAUGUGAGUUGUGUGCGUAUGUUUAGUACGACCUUAUUAGUUUAGCAUGAGUGGAACUAACUUAUAAGGCCUCUUCCCUCCAACCAUACCCUUUUACACGAAGCGAGGACGAAAGUGUAAGUGGAGUGAUGUGUGUAAGUGGGCCCGCUACGUGGUUCUGGAGGGAGGGCUGUAACAAAUGGUAUCGGAGCCGACCCUUGCGAUUGCGCGUACGGGUCAGUGUGCGGGCAUAUGGCGCUGGCACUGGACGUACGGAUGUGCGCUUCGCGGUUGCGCGUACAGGUCAGUGUGCGGGCAUAUGGCGCAUGGCGCAUGUGGGCUCUGUGUGAGGCACAUGGCAUGGCAUAUGGCGCUAGCACUGGACGUACGGAUGUGCGCUGAGAGGGGGUGUGUUCCUGGACAGUUGCCUAUAUGCCUGUGUGGCUACAUGGGUAAGUUGGGCCGACAGGGAUGUCGGGUCCUUUGAGGGGGGGGGGGGUUGUGACAUCCCAGCCCAAUUUGGAUUAGGCCUGUGUGGCCCCACUCCCGGGUUAACCCUUUUAUACGAAGCGAUGACGGAAGUGUAAGUGGAGUGGUAUGUGUAAGUGGGCCCGCCCGUCGGAUGGGCUGGCUACACGGUUCUGUAGGGAGGGCUGUGACAGUGACGUGGUCAUCACUUCCAACUUAAAUGCUAAAAAUAUUGUUCUCAAUUUGUAACCUCCAUUGAGAGUAUUAUCAUGUUCUUAGUAAUUGCUUAUUGAUAUUUUUAUGGAAAAAGAGGUGUAGGCAAUCUUCUUCACAUUAUUCAUUACAGUAAGAUCGUUACACAUUUAGUUUACUUCUCGUUGAUCUGCCACUCAGCAUACUGUUGCGGCCCACGCCUCGGAGCAAAGACAGCCAUCUCAUCGCCGCGGUUGAACUUUACAUGCCUAGAGUCCUCCCUUGAAAGCCUAUAAGCAUUGGCGACCACGUCAACGGGUAGAGCACGAAGAAUGGAGGCCUUCCCUGCGAUCUGACUGUCGACAGCAUUGUGAUUGGUCUUGAAGGAUACCCAUGC